rnacentral:rRNA from 1 species
UACGUAGGGUGCGAGCGUUAAUCGGAAUUACUGGGCGUAAAGAGUGCGUAGGCGGUUCGUUAUGUCUGCUGUGAAAGCCCCGGGCUUAACCCGGGAAUGGCAGUGGAAACUGGCGGGCUUGAGUGUGGCAGAGGGGGGUGGAAUUCCGCGUGUAGCAGUGAAAUGCGUAGAGAUGCGGAGGAACACCGAUGGCGAAGGCAGCCCCCUGGGCUAACACUGACGCUGAGGCACGAAAGCGUGGGGAGCAAACAGG